UUCAGAGUAUUACAAAAUAAGAAUCAAUGUCCAAAUCUUUUUCAUCGCAAACAAGCACUCCUACUGACUACUCCAGCAAAAGUGAUCGAAGCAUGGUUAGAUGAAAAGGAAUCAUGGUGAUCGACUGGAGUAUGAGCAAUAAUCCGUUAGUUUCUUCUUAACUGGAUGCUGCAAUCAGAUGUCUGUACAGGAAAAUAUACUAAGGAUGGAACUAUGAAAAUUGCUGGAAAGAUUACAUCUUGAAUAUGCGAAGAAGGAGGUGGAAACGAUGAAGGGAUAUGAUGCACUUCUUCGAAUAGAACCUGGUAUAUGCAAGUUAAUCAAUUUACGUAGAAUGGAAAGCAUAGGAGGUAUUAUACCAGUCUUUCUUGGAGGCCUUGGUUAUCACAGGACUGCUCUAAAUCAAUGAAAAUUUUAAACCUCAGAUUAUUCUCUAAGAACCUCAGAAACUCAGAUUUUUCUAAAUUCUUUAGGAAAAUGCGUUCUCAUCAAUAAAUAAUAUUUGCCAGCAUUACCCAUGAUUCAAAAUGGUUUUUCUACGUAUGCGCGUCGAUAAAGCAGAUUUCUAUGCCCAUGCUCGUAUCAAUGCUCGUGGUUCGUUUGUUUUACA